rnacentral:rRNA from 1 species
UACGGGGGGGGCAAGCGUUGUUCGGAAUUACUGGGCGUAAAGGGCUCGUAGGCGGCCAACUAAGUCCGACGUGAAAUCCCCAGGCUUAACCUGGGAACUGCAUCCGAUACUGGUUGGCUUGAAUCCGGUAGAGGGAUGCAGAAUUCCAGGUGUAGCGGUGAAAUGCGUAGAUAUCUGGAGGAAUACCAGUGGCGAAGGCGGCAUCCUGGACCGGCAUUGACGCUGAACAGCGAAAGCUAGGGGAGCAAACGGG